rnacentral:pre_miRNA from 1 species
CAAGUACUCCCUCCGUCCGGAAUCACUUGUCAUCAAAAUGGAUGUGUCUAGAACUAAAAUACAUCUAGAUACAUCCAUUUCAAUGACAAGUAUUUUCAGACCGAGGGAGUACAAG